AAGGUACCACUUAAAGUUAAACUAUUCAUGUGGUAUCUCCGUAGGAGAGUUGUGCUAACCAAAGACAAUCUCGCACGGCGCAACUGGUCAGAAAGUAAGAAGUGUUGUUCUUGUACUCAUGACUACACAAUUAAACACCUCCUUUUUUAAUAUAAGUUUGCACGAUCUACGUGGCCAGUCAUCCAAAUAGCGUCAAAUUUAUAUACGCCCACAAGUGUUGCCAAUAUUUUUGGUCAAUGGCUGGAUGGUAUUUCAAAUAGGUACAAAACGCUAAUAAGGGUGGGAGCAUAUGUCUUACUAUCAUUGUUUUGGCUAUGUAGAAAUAAUGUUGUUUUCACUGACAAAAAUGUUUCUUCUUUGCAGGUUGUUUUACAUUGUACGCACUUGCUUCGUACGUAG
rnacentral:rRNA from 1 species